GACAGGGAGGAGUCUCAUUUUGCAUCAAGAGCUUUCCAUGGGUCAUCUUAUUUCACCCUGCACGAUGCUGUGUGGUCUCAUCACCACUGAACACACAAGACCCUGAGACUCUGAGAGGUAGACACUGCACUCUACAGCUGCGAUUCACACCUGGAUCUGCUGGCUCAAGGUCUGCACUCUUUCCACUGCACCACAGUAACCCACAUGAAUCAGCAAUGAAAAGGCAAGACGGAGUAAGCUUCAAGCACUGAUGACCAUCUGUUUUAGCCCAAGUUGCCUAUGAAACAGAGCGUUAUGCAGAAGCUGAAGUACUAAUGCCUUAUUAGAGGAUGCAAGCCCAGGGAAGCAAGAGUGAGAGGUAAAGAAAGAGAUAAAGGAGGAACAACCAAUGGACAGGGGUGCAUUACCAAGAUGGCCACUACUUCAUUACAAAAAGAACUGAUAGAUCCAUCCUGUGGCAUGGCUCAGAGAGGCUACAGGAAACAUGGCAUCUCAGAGCAUCAUUUAGGAAAGGAAGGGUCCUGGGGACUUUUUCUUCUUGUGUCUGUACCUCAUCAGUUAAUUCUGGCUCCAUACAGAAUGCAAAAAUAUCUACUCGCUGCUCUAGGAUCCCCUACUGUUAAUCAUAGAAAGCCAAUCGCUGGGUAUGAACUUGCAGAAAGCACAAUCUUUAGGAACUGAGUGCUCCUUAAUGCCUUUUCACAGAAGGAAUUAUUUCCCUCCAGUUGCCCCUGUGGUUUGUUUGCCAUGGUGUCCUCACCUAAGCAUUUGAGGAAUAAAACAAAAGUGAAUGAAAAUGGUGGUUGUCUGAUUGUUGUCAUGGUUGCACGAUACUGCAGCUUCCUAACUCUAGCCAGAGAGUUCUGUGUCCAUUUUCUUGGUCUAAUACGCACUCUA
rnacentral:lncRNA from 1 species